UACGUAGGUGGCGAGCGUUGUCCGGAUUUACUGGGCGUAAAGCGCGCGCAGGCGGGCUGGUCAGUCCGGGGUGGAAAUCUCACGGCUCAACCGUGAGCGGUCCCCGGAUACUGCCAGUCUUGAGGUGUCUAGAGGAGAGCGGAAUUCCCGGUGUAGUGGUGGAAUGCGUAGAUAUCGGGAAGAACACCAGUGGCGAAAGCGGCUCUCUGGGGACCACCUGACGCUGAGGCGCGAAAGCGUGGGGAGCGAACCGG
rnacentral:rRNA from 1 species